CUGAAAUGACGGUUAUUUUUCUACCUGAAGAACUUAAGUUGAACUCUCAGUAAAUUUGACCAUAAAAAAAAGAAAAUAUGUGGAUGGGUGAGAUUUACAUAAUGAUAAAAAAAAUAAGUGUUGGCCCAAUUACAUGUGACCAAUGUCCUAUGAAGCAAAAACUAGACUAUACAGCUUAGAUAAAGGUUAGGAUUUUCACCAUUAGAGAGCA
rnacentral:lncRNA from 1 species